rnacentral:lncRNA from 1 species
ACUUCUAGGGGCCCGCCCUCACCACAGCACAAACGAAGACCUCAGAUGGGAAAGCACUUUAUUAGGCUGGACUUCCAGCCUCGGCCACGGGAGCCCUGCCGGGUAAGGGUUAUGGACCCCCACCGCCCUCCUCGUCGUCUUCCAUGUCGAGGCCCGGGAUCCCGCGGAUCUGACACUGCAGCGCUCCGCCCAGCAAGGGUACAGGGCUCUCCUCCUCUUCUGGUGGUGGCGGAGGUGGCGGUGUUGUAGUCCCUGGGGCGGGCUCCAGGGGCACGGGGGGCUGUGCCGGCACGCCCUCUGUGAGCUCUGUCGCUUCGCUUGGUGCCCCUUCAUCCAGAGCGCCAGCCUCCACCUCGUCUUGUUCCUUUUCCUCCUCUGGGUUGUCAGUGAAAGGAUUCUCGCCCUGUAGAGAUGGAUAGAGACUUUAAUGGGAGGUAGGAAUCACUGGGAUAGAAUGGGGACCAGGCUCACACAAAGGUCAGGACUAGGACAGUGCUUUCGCCUUUGCCUCACCUUCAGAUAUCGCUCCAGCUUCUUGCUAAUGAGCUUGUUGUUGAGAAUACUGCGGGCCACCAUAAGCGAGGACUUCUUGGACUGCUCCAUCAUAAGCUAUGGGCAGGGCAGACAGGGCUGGUGAGGCUGCUCUAGGAAUCCAACAAACCCAGCUGAGGUUCAGAUUCACCAAUAACUAGUCCUAGUGUCUGUAAGUGACCUUGGGCGUAAUUCCAGUCAGUCUGGACAGGCAUGCAAGGAACUAGGAUUCGAUCUGAUCACCCACACCUUAUUUGCUGUUUGAAACCUGAUCUGCUUACAUAGAAACUAUAGUAAGUACUGGACUUAGUGGCACAGGCCAUGUAACUCCAGGACAUUAAAGUGGAAGGCCUACCUGGACUACAGAGUUUAACGGUUUACAUGGUUUGACUAUGUCUCAGAAAAUAAAAGACGGCUGGGAGCUAGAGAGAUGGCUCAGCGUAAAGGACUUGUUAGUAUUUCAAAGACUCAGGUUCAUUUUCUGCCACCUACAAGGUGGCUGACAACAAUCUCUAAUCUAGUUCCCAGGAAUAUGAAGCCCUCUUCUGGUUACCACAGGCACCAGGCAUGUGAAUAGUGAGCAUAUGUGCAGGCAAAACAUACAAG